AUGUCACAAUUGUUUUGGUUGACGUUGCAGCCAGCCAGUACUCACUCACACCAGCACCACAUAGGCCUAUUAAUUUCUUUUUCUUUUGGCCCUGUCACACUCUUCACAAAGAAGAGCUACGUAGCUUGGAUGUUCUGUACACGACACACAGAAAAUAAACCUCAAUUCAAGUUGGCGGUCACUUUCUGUCGGCAUUGUCUCUUUCCACUAUCCAACCAUCAAACACAACAAUUUCUCAUUUCAACUACAAUUGCUUCUGGUUUUGAUUCUGUUGUUGAGGCUUUCUCAGAUCCUGCUUCAGUAUUUUUAUUUCACAAAAAGUUUCAUGUAUAA
rnacentral:lncRNA from 1 species